GACAGAGGGGGCAAGCGUUGCUCGGAAUCACUGGGCGUAAAGGGCGCGUAGGCGGGAUGGCAAGUCGGUCGUGAAAUCCCUGGGCUCAACUCAGGGGGGUCGGCCGAUACUGCCAUUCUUGAGGGAUGCAGAGGAGACUGGAAUUCCCGGUGUAGCGGUGAAAUGUGUAGAGAUCCGGAAGAACACCGGUGGCGAAGGCGACCUGCUGGGACAUGGCUGACGCUGAGGCGCGACAGCGUGGGGAGCGAACAGG
rnacentral:rRNA from 1 species